UACGUAGGUCCCGAGCGUUGUCCGGAUUUAUUGGGCGUAAAGCGAGCGCAGGUGGUUUAUUAAGUCUGGUGUAAAAGGCAGUGGCUCAACCAUUGUAUGCAUUGGAAACUGGUAGACUUGAGUGCAGGAAAGGAGAGUGGAAUUCCAUGUGUAGCGGUGAAAUGCGUAGAUAUAUGGAGGAACACCAGUGGCGAAGGCGGCUUACUGGACUGUAACUGACGUUGAGGCUCGAAAGCGUGGGGAGCAAACAGG
rnacentral:rRNA from 1 species